AGUGAACGCUGGCGGUAGGCCUAACACAUGCAAGUCGAACGGCAGCACAGUAAGAGCUUGCUCUUACGGGUGGCGAGUGGCGGACGGGUGAGGAAUACAUCGGAAUCUACUUUUUCGUGGGGGAUAACGUAGGGAAACUUACGCUAAUACCGCAUACGACCUACGGGUGAAAGCAGGGGAUCUUCGGACCUUGCGCGAUUGAAUGAGCCGAUGUCGGAUUAGCUAGUUGGCGGGGUAAAGGCCCACCAAGGCGACGAUCCGUAGCUGGUCUGAGAGGAUGAUCAGCCACACUGGAACUGAGACACGGUCCAGUCUCCUACGGGGGGCAGCAGUGGGGAAUAUUGGACAAUGGGCGCAAGCCUGAUCCAGCCAUACCGCGUGGGUGAAGAAGGCCUUCGGGUUGUAAAGCCCUUUUGUUGGGAAAGAAAAGCAGCAGGUUAAUACCCCGCUGUUCUGACGGUACCCAAAGAAUAAGCACCGGCUAACUUCGUG
rnacentral:rRNA from 1 species